UACGUAGGGGGCUAGCGUUGUCCGGAUUUAUUGGGCGUAAAGCGCGUGUAGGCGGCCAGGAAGGUCCGCUGUGAAAACUCGAGGCUCAACCUCGAGAUGUCGGCGGAAACCCUCUGGCUAGAGUCCGGAAGAGGAGAGUGGAAUUCCCGGUGUAGCGGUGAAAUGCGCAGAUAUCGGGAAGAACACCCGUGGCGAAGGCGGCUCUCUGGGACGGUACUGACGCUGAGACGCGAAAGCGUGGGGAGCGAACAGG
rnacentral:rRNA from 1 species